AUGUGGAGAGACUCUUCUCUGCUUCGUCAGCAUCAUGAGGUUGUUGAGGCUCCCCAGAGGACCCAUGAUAGUCCCAGGAGUGCUACAGCCUUCCUCUCCUCUGAAGACCCAGUGAGGGUGGAGCUCAGUCAGAGAACUGUUGAGGCACUGGUUAGGAAGAACACUUCUACAGCCAGAGAUGUGAGAGGUCACAUGUGGUUUAGAUGGUAAAUAUUUAUGUCCCAUUAGUGGUUCAUCAUGUAAGCAAAUGGGAAUAUGUUCUAUCAUCUAUGUUUAUUUACAUUAGUGCAAAUUGUCCACUGAUAUUGGUGUAAUUUCUCACCCCUUUUGGCUGUAUGAAAGUUACUUUCCCCUCAUACACACAUUUGUUCUUUGAUAUUAUGAAGGUCAUUUGUGUCAAAUGUACUUUUCCUCACUCAUUCACCCAUCUCUUUAUAUUGAUUAUUUAUAUUCAGUGGCCUGACUGCAUCCAGACUGUUAAAGGCCCAUCCUGGUAGAUCGGAACCUAAUGCAGCUUGGAGUGAUCAGAUGACACAAGUCACAUUUAGGUGCCAGGUGUAACUGAGGCCAUAGAUGCUCCAUAUCCAUUACUUUGAGUGUUUUAUAUAAUAUGACUAAAUGUGUUUCUGUGUUGCAGGGGCAGUCAAGAAAUGGAACAGCAAGGCCACAGAACAUGACAUAAGCAGAGCUGUGGGAGACCACCUCAAGCCCCUGGUAGAGCCAGGGGUGGUGUUUACCACUCCACCACGCCUUCAGCAGGCUGGGAAAGUGGGAUUGAUCUGUUUGAUCCAAUUGUUUGUUUCACUUCUCAGGAGUUGAAUCCUUUGACAUAUUGUUGAUUUCAAAAUGUUUCAUUUUGAACAAAUGCACUGGGUUGGUUGAAAGGUGAUACUAAACAUACAUAACAUGCACUAUUUUGACAUAGUAUGAAAAACAGUAUCUUCCACUAAGAUGGAUCAAAAUAUUGGGUUGCUUUUGCACAUAUUGGUUCAUUUGUUUUACAAUAUGUUCAAAUCAAAGCAAUCUUUAUUUAUACAGCACAUUUCAGACAUGGAUGCAACACAAUGGCUUCACAGGAAAAAGCAAACCAAAAUAAACAAAUAUUUAAUACUAAACAAACAAGGAUAAAAAAAGCAUGAGAAACAACUGAAAGACUAAUGAACAUUCUAAGGAAAAGACAAUGAUUAAAAUAUUAAGAAUUGGAUACAACAUCCAACCCAAAAUAGAAGCUUGUUCUACUCCAUUGUUAGUUGUUACCUUCCCCAACAGGAAAACCAAAUGUCCCUUACAUAGAAGAGGGAACAAAGAGUAAUUGACAACAACCAAAACUAAACAGGUGGGGUUUUGCAAGGCACUAUGGGGUGUCCACUGGAAGUUGACUUGUAACAACAACUGGGACCUAAAAGACACCGACCAUGAGACCCACUACGUCUGCCCAAGAAGAGCCAAACAAAAGACAAACCCACACCAAACUUAAAGACAGGAAGCAAACCAAAAAGGUGGUUAAAAUAAUUUAUUACAAUCAAUACCAUUCAUACUAUUACAAAAUCAUAAUUCUCAUUCAUUCUUAAUUAAUUCUAUUUACAAAAACAUCAAACAAAAACAAACCUCAGGGGAGCAUCGUCCCUCCCCGUCAUACCUAACCAAUACCUAACCCUUUCCCUAUCUCCCCUUCCCUAAUCUAUCCCCUUACCAAACUCACUCUAACACUCCCAGCCCUAAACCCCCUUUCC
rnacentral:lncRNA from 1 species